GACAGAGGGUGCAAACGUUGUUCGGAAUUACUGGGCGUAAAGCGUGUGUAGGCGGCCACGUAAGUCGGAUGUGAAAGCCCCCAGGCUCAACCUGGGAAGUGCACUCGAUACUGCGUGGCUUGAGUAUCGGAGAGGUUGGUGGAAUUCUCGGUGUAGAGGUGAAAUUCGUAGAUAUCGAGAGGAACACCGGUGGCGAAGGCGGCCAACUGGACGAAUACUGACGCUGAGACACGAAAGCGUGGGGAGCAAACAGG
rnacentral:rRNA from 1 species